rnacentral:rRNA from 1 species
ACUCCUACGGGAGGCAGCAGUAGGGAAUUUUUCACAAUGGACGAAAGUCUGAUGGAGCAAUGCCGCGUGGAUGAUGAAGGUUGGAAACAAUUGUAAAAUCCUUUUAUAUGGGAAGAAUUGUAUAGAUAGGAAAUGAUCUAUAUUUGACGGUACCAUUUGAAUAAGUAACGACUAACUAUGUGCCAGCAGUCGCGGUAAUACAUAGGUUGCAAGCGUUAUCCGGAUUUACUGGGCGUAAAACGAGCGCAGGCGGGUUUUCAAGUCUGGUGUUAAAUGCCGUCGCUUAACGACGGCAUGCAUUGGAAACUGUUAACCUAGAGUUUGGUAGAGAGUUCUGGAACUCCAUGUGGAGCGGUGGAAUGCGUGGAUAUAUGGAAGAACACCAGUUGCGAAGGCGAGAACUUGGGCCACAACUGACGCUUAGGCUCGAAAGUGUGGGGAGCAAAUAGGA